AAGGAACCCCGAGGAGAGGCGAGGUGGGGAAGGAUUUUCAGGACUCGCUCUGGCUCUAGCUUGCUGGGUGAUCUUGGGCAGCGUCUUUCCUUUCUCUGGCCGUCAUUUCUUCACGGGAA